GACGAACGCUGGCGGCGUGCUUAACACAUGCAAGUCGAACGCUGAAGCUUGGUGCUUGCACUGGGUGGAUGAGUGGCGAACGGGUGAGUAAUACGUGAGUAACCUGCCCUUGACUCUGGGAUAAGCCUGGGAAACUGGGUCUAAUACUGGAUACGACAUGUCACCGCAUGGUGGUGUGUGGAAAGGGUUUUACUGGUUUUGGAUGGGCUCACGGCCUAUCAGCUUGUUGGUGGGGUAAUGGCUCACCAAGGCGACGACGGGUAGCCGUCCUGAGAGGGUGACCAGCCACAAUGGGACUAAGACACGGACCAGAAUCCAACGGGAGGCAGCAGUGGGAAAUAUUGCACAAUGGGCGGAAGCCUGAUGAAGCGACGCCGCGUGAGGGAUGACGGCCUUCGGGUUGUAAACCUCUUUCAGCACGGAAGAAGCGAAAGUGACGGUACGUGCAGAAGAAGCGCCGGCUAACUACGUG
rnacentral:rRNA from 1 species